AAUGAACGUUGGCGGCGUGGAUUAGGCAUGCAAGUCGCGCGAUAUACGUAGCAAUACGUGGAAAGCGGCGUAAGGGAGAGUAAUGCAUGGUUAGCUGCCCCCGGGACUGGGAUAGCGGCGGGAAACUGCCGGUAAUACCAGAUGGUGUCUUCGGACCAAACGUGUAAACCGGCCCGGGGAGGUGACCAUGUCCUAUCAGCUAGUUGGCGGGGUAACGGCCCACCAAGGCAAAGACGGGUAUGGGGUGUGAGAGCAUGCCCCCACUCACUGGGACUGAGACACUGCCCAGACACCUACGGGUGGCUGCAGUCGAGAAUCUUCGGCGAUGGGCGCAAGCCUGACCGAGCGACGCCGCGUGCGGGAUGAAGGCCUUCGGGUUGUAAACCGCUGUCGUAGGGGAGGAAGACUUGGUGUAUAGCCAAGUUUGACCGAUCCUAGGAGGAAGGGCCGGCUAAUCUCGUGCCAGCCGCCGCUGUAA
rnacentral:rRNA from 1 species